rnacentral:tRNA from 1 species
UCUUAGGUGGCCGAAAACUAAGCAAUAAACUUUUAAUUUAUCUAUGGUAAUUUUUACCCCUAAGAA